rnacentral:rRNA from 1 species
UNNGACAACUCAUACUUGACGACCCCCCGAAGUUUUUCAUCUUAUUAAGCGGAGGAGGAGAAAAUACUCAGG